rnacentral:rRNA from 1 species
GCUUGCUCCCUGAUGUUAGCGGCGGACGGGUGAGUAACACGUGGGUAACCUGCCUGUAAGACUGGGAUAACUCCGGGAAACCGGGGCUAAUACCGGAUGCUUGUUUGAACCGCAUGGUUCAAACAUAAAAGGUGGCUUCGGCUACCACUUACAGAUGGACCCGCGGCGCAUUAGCUAGUUGGUGAGGUAAUGGCUCACCAAGGCGACGAUGCGUAGCCGACAUGAGA